GAUGAACGCUGGCGGCGUGCUUAGCACAUGCAAGUCGAACGGUAAGGCCCUUCGGGGUACACGAGUGGCGAACGGGUGAGUAACACGUGGGUGAUCUGCCCUGCACUUCGGGAUAAGCCUGGGAAACUGGGUCUAAUACCGGAUAGGACCACUGCCUGCAUGGGUGGUGGUGGAAAGCUUUUGCGGUGUGGGAUGGGCCCGCGGCCUAUCAGCUUGUUGGUGGGGUGAUGGCCUACCAAGGCGACGACGGGUAGCCGGCCUGAGAGGGUGACCGGCCACACUGGGACUGAGAUACGGCCCAGACUCCUACGGGAGGCAGCAGUGGGGAAUAUUGCACAAUGGGCGCAAGCCUGAUGCAGCGACGCCGCGUGAGGGAUGACGGCCUUCGGGUUGUAAACCUCUUUCAGCACCGACGAAGCGCAAGUGACGGUAGGUGCAGAAGAAGGACCGGCCAACUACGUGUCAGCCGCCGCCGUAA
rnacentral:rRNA from 1 species